UACGUAGGGGGCGAGCGUUGUCCGGAAUCAUUGGGCGUAAAGCGCGUGUAGGCGGCCCGGUAAGUCCGCUGUGAAAGUCCAGGGCUCAACCCUGGGAUGCCGGUGGAUACUGCCGGGCUAGAGUCCGGAAGAGGCGAGUGGAAUUCCCGGUGUAGCGGUGAAAUGCGCAGAUAUCGGGAGGAACACCAAUGGCGAAGGCAGCUCGCUGGGACGUUACUGACGCUGAGGCACGAAAGCGUGGGGAGCAAACAGG
rnacentral:rRNA from 1 species